UGCGUAGGUGGCAGUGCAAGUCAGAUGUGAAAGGCCGGGGUUCAACCCCGGAGCUGCAUUUGAAACUGCUCGGCUAGAGUACAGGAGAGGCAGGCGGAAUUCCUAGUGUAGCGGUGAAAUGCGUAGAUAUUAGGAGGAACACCAGUGGCGAAGGCGGCCUGCUGGACUGUUACUGACACUGAGGUAGAAAGCGUGGGGAGCGAACA
rnacentral:rRNA from 1 species